CUUGGUGCUUGCAGCGAUGGGGGUACACCUGUUCCCAUCCCGAACACAGCAGUUAAGCCCAUUAGCAGCGAUGGUACUUGGACCCAAUCCGGUCCCGGGAGAGUAGCCCAGCGCCAAGA
rnacentral:rRNA from 1 species